UACGAAGGGGGCGAGCGUUGUUCGGAAUCACUGGGCGUAAAGGGCGCGUAGGCGGCCCUCCUAGUCGCGUGUGAAAGCCCCGGGCUCAACCUGGGAACUGCAUUUGAUACGGGCGGGCUUGAAUCCAAGGAGAGGGUGGUGGAAUUCCCAGUGUAGAGGUGAAAUUCGUAGAUAUUGGGAAGAACACCAGUGGCGAAGGCGGCCUACUGGGCGCUGCACCUGACGCCGUGAGCCGACGGAAAGCC
rnacentral:rRNA from 1 species